rnacentral:lncRNA from 1 species
CAAUGGCACAUUUCCCCUUCAGUCCUGGCACUGUAAUGUUACAUCUUGGUUUUUGGUUUUGUGUACAAAUGUGUUUAACACUGUGUAUUAAACACAAGGAAACACUCUUUUGUUGGUCACAUAGCCAUCAUGUACAACCAAAUUUAUACUUUUGUAUUUUUCCAAAACAAACAUCCCUGGGUGUUUCGUGCACACACACAGACAACUCACUAGACAAGGUUUACCUCCUCCAGACCACGCCUAUCCAAGACAGUGCCUAAGUAGAGGCAGGAGAGUUGAGCCUGUCUCUGUGGUAUCUUCAUGGGAAACACCAACAUUUUCUUGCUCUACUUCUGGUGUUGGUUGGGGAAUUCGGUUAUUUCUUGGAAAGACUGAGUGUGUCAAAGAAUCAUUCUGUUUGCUGUCUGAAAACAAAUGACACAGUAUUUGUUUUGAACAAAUGAAACAGUGUUUGUUUUGGUGUGCAAAGGCCUUUGACCCUUUCUGUGUCAAUGUACUUUUUUAUCAUCACAUAAACAUCAUGUAUAACCAAAUUUAAAUUUUUGUAGUGUGUAUUAAUGCCUUUUAUUUUGUUUAGUUAUUCAUAAUCAUUUUUCAAAAUAUCUUUAUUCUUAUAUUUUAUCACUUUUUAUUAAAUUAAUGGAAAUGUCACCCAUUCUCUAUAAUUGUUUUCCACAAAUUUCCUCUGAAAUACUUCUAGUUGAAAAGGUGCAGAAAGUUUGCUAGGAACCACAAGACAAAAUUUGCUAGAGACUCAUACUUAAAACGGGUUUUGUAUAUGGCUUAGUUUGUUCUAAUUUGCAAGGUUCAAAAGCAUUGAUUUGAAUACAUGGAAUACCAAGACUCCCUUCCAGCACACAAAGACCAGUUAUUUUGUUAAUAUGCACGAAUAAACUUCAGCAUAUUGUUUUUCUUUUACCUGAAAUUUAUAGAUACUGGCUUGAAUCUCUGAUUCCUUCUACAUAGUAUUUGUAAACGUCUGCAAGACAUUUCCUUAUACUUAUGGCUCAUAAUAUAGGUGUGUAUUCUUCUCUUUCUCUUUGAUGAGUAAAUACCAAAAUUGCUUCUUCAGUUAAAAAAAAAAAAAAGCCACUCCGAAAAUCUGUGCAUACAACUGCACACAGCAAAUGUUUUCCGAUUAUCGUCUGUAGAAAAGAAAUGGGAACUUCAAUUUAUUUUCUUGUAUCAGAUAAUAAUCUUUUAAAAGUGAUUUAUACUUUUAUAGAUUACCAGAGAAUUUUCAGAGUUGCUUUCUGUCCAGGACAUGUGUGGGGCUCAGAGACACCAUAGACAAAGUUGCCAUGUUCUGUGAUGCUUCUGUCCAACAGGGUUUCAGAAAACUUGACAAAAAUUAAACUGUAAGGUGGAAGAGCUGCCCUUGGGAACUGAGAGGACAGGUUUCAGGCCUGGGAUGGGAUGGACAGGGGAAGCCUCCAGGAGGAGGAACAUUGGAGGAGAUGCUGGAGAGUGAGGCGCAGUGGGUCCAGGAGACAGGGGAGGGAAAGCGAGGAGGAAAACCUGUGUGCCUGGCACAGGCCAGGCCAUGAGAAGAGGGCGGUGGAUUGGAAGGAGCGCUGGGAUGAGUAAUUGGUGAGGACGCAGGAGCAGGAAGGGCAGACCACGGAGGGACUGGGCAGGGGAGGCAGGGAGGGCCGCUCCCUGAGGACUGCGCUCUGUGGGGAGGGAUUCGAAUGUCUGGGUUUGGUUCCCUGAGAUGUUACCCCAGCCCAUGAGCUCAGCCUAUGGGAAGGACGUUGAGGAGUGAGUGGGCCCUGUCCCCUGGGGAGGCUCCUGGGCUGGGCCAGGGGGGCGUGGGUCUGGGAGAAAGGAGGGUGGAGAAGAGCAAAGAGGACCCCCGGCUGCCUGACUGCAGGGCUCAUGGGGCUGCCCUUGUUCCUGGCCUUUUCUCUAUCGCUCAGACCCUCGCUUCCCCGCCAGGGCAGGUUUCUGCCACCUCAGUGCUUUUGCAGGUGGUGGGAUCCAUGGAGGAGAAAACUCAGAUCUGCGGACUCCUCUCCACCUGGCGCCCACACAGGUGAGGCUGGGAGCAGCCUGAAGGGAAGUGCGGGUGCGGGGGUCGCAGCUGCGCAGUGAGGGGAACCGGAGGCUGCCACGCAGGCUGGGCUUGGGGGCGGGAGCCAGGCCCAGGUGGGGCGUGAGGGCCGCGGGUGCAGGGCAAGGCUGACAGGGAGUGAGGGAGGAAGGUGGAGGGCGGUGAUCAGAGGGCGCGGCUGACAGGGGGAGAGGGCGGUGAGAUCUACAGGAGAACUCAGGGCGGAUGUCUGAGGGGUCUGCGCUGGGCUUUCCGGUGGCUUCGCCCGGAACGCGCGCUUGUUCCUGAGGCGGUGCCUGCCUGUGUCGUCGUCCCUGUUUGUUCUUCAAACGUCAGGAUUUCUCCGUGUUUCCCAGACCGUAACGUACAUUUAAAAAGCUUGCUUUCUGUCACAUAUGCCCUUUUAUAUUAUGGACAUAACAAUUGUUACUUACCUACGUUUCCUAUUUGUGAAUUAUUCAUAGAUAAAGAAUUUACCAAAACUUUUAUUUUUAGUUGACACAUUGCGUAUAUUUAUGGAUAACAGUGUGAUAUUUUGAUUCUUGUAUUCAUUGGGGAAGAUUCAAUCAAGCUAAUUAACAUGGGCAUCAACUCACCAGCUAAUACUUUAUGGUGAGAACACUAAAAAUCUUUUAUUUAGCUAUUCUAAAAUGUACAGCGUGACUUCGGAGGAAAUGAUACUGCCCGGCCUCAGUAGCCCGAGACUGAUCAUUUCUAAAUCUUGAGGUUCCCAUUUCUGAGGGGGUCAUGGCUGCAUGCCCGUAAGCAAGGGGGGUGGUGCUCCAGUGAACAUUCAUGUGAAUGUGUCUUUUUGGAAGAAUGAUUUCUAUUCCUCUGGGUGUAUACCCUGUAAUGGGAUUGCUGAGUUGAAUGGUAGUUCUGAUUUUAGCUCUUUGAGGAAAUGACAUAUUGCUUUCCACAAUGGUUGAAUGAACUUACACUCCUACCAACAGUGUGUAAGUGAUCCUUUUUAUCUGCAACCUCACCAGCAUCUGUUAUUUUGACUUUUUAGUAAUAGCCAUUCUGACUGGUAUGAGAUGGUAUCUCAUUGUGGUUUUGAUUUGCGUUUCUGUAAUGAUCAAUGAUAUUGAGCUUUUAUUCAUAUGCUUGUUGGCCGCAUGUAUCUCCUGUUUGGAAAUUGUCUGUUCUUAUCCUUUGCUACUUUUCUUUUCUUUUCUUUUUUUUUUUUUUUGAGACCGGGUCUUGUUCUGUUGCCCAAGCUGGAGUGCAGUGGCGCGAUCUCGGCUCACUGCAACCUCCGCCUCCCGGGUUCAAGCGAUUCUCCUGUCCCCUCCCAAGUAGCUGGGACUACAGGCACCUGCCACCACACCUGGCUGAUUUUUUGUAUUUUUAGUAGAGACGAGGUUUCACCAUGUUAGCCAGGAUGGUCUCGAUCUCCUGACCUUGUGAUCCGCCCGCCUUGGCCUCCCAAAGUGCUGGGAUUACAGGCGUGAGCCACCGCGCCCGGUGCUUUGCCUACUUUUUAAUGCGGUUGUUUGUUUUUCUCUCGUAAAUUUGUUUAAGUUUUUUAUAGAUGCUGGAUAUUAUACUUCCAUCAGAUGCAUAGUUUGCAAAUAUUUUCUCC